GGAGGUCCGAACCCACGAGAGGUGAAAAGAUCGGGGAUGACUUGUGGGUAGCGGUGAAAUUCCAAUCGAGCCCGGAGAUAGCUGGUUCUCCCCGAAAUAGCUUUAGGGCUAGCCUCAAGGUGAGAGAUACGGAGGUAGAGCACUGAAUGUCCUAGGGGGUAUUGCACCUACCGAAGACUAUCAAACUCCGAAUGCCGUCAUCUUAUACUUGGGAGUCAGACUGUGGGUGAUAAGAUUCAUAGUCGAAAGGGCAACAGCCCAGAUCGUCAGCUAAGGUCCCUAAAUGUAAGUUAAGUGGUAAAGGAUGUGGGAUUGCACAGACAACCAGGAUGUUGGCUUAGAAGCAGCCACUCAUUCAAAGAGUGCGUAAUAGCUCACUGGUCGAGUGAUCCUGCGCCGAAGAUUUCCGGGGCUAAAACUUACUACCGAAGCUACGGCAUCAGUAAUGAUGGGUAGGGGAGCUUCCCAUACGGGUUGAAGCAUGACCGUAAGGACAUGUGGACAGUAUGGGAGUGAGAAUGUUGGCAUGAGUAGCGAGAUGUGGGUGGGAAUCCCACAGGCCGUAAACCCAAGGUUUCCAGGGGAAGGUUCGUCCGCCCUGGGUUAGUCGGGACCUAAGCUGAGGCCGAAAGGCGUAGGUGAUGGACAACAGGUUGAUAUUCCUGUACUACCGAUAACCAUUUGAGAGAUGGGAUGACACAGUAGGAUAAGCUAAGCACACUGUUGGUUAUGUGUGCCCAAGCAUUGAGGCAGUCAAAGUAGGCAAAUCCGCUUUGAUAAUGCUGGGAUGUGAUGGGGAGCGAAAUUUAGUAGCGAAGUAGCUGAUUUCACACUGUCAAGAAAAGUCUCUAUCGAGGUUAAAGGUACCCGUACCGCAAACCGACACAGGUGGGUGAGGAGAGUAUCCUAAGGCCAGCGAGAGAACUGUUGUUAAGGAACUCGGCAAAAUGACCCCGUAACUUAGGGAUAAGGGGUGCCACCAUC
rnacentral:rRNA from 1 species